GGAACCGUGCCCAAACGCCCAGGGACUAUCUUGAUAGAGUGGCUUGUAGGGGUUAAAGUCCCCUCGGUUCUU
rnacentral:tRNA from 1 species